rnacentral:rRNA from 1 species
CAGCAGCCGCGGUAAUACGUAGGUGGCAAGCGUUGUCCGGAAUUAUUGGGCGUAAGGGGCUCGCAGGCGGUUUCUUAAGUCUGAUGUGAAAGCCCCCGGCUCAACCGGGGAGGGUCAUUGGAAACUGGGAAACUUGAGUGCAGAAGAGGAGAGUGGAAUUCCACGUGUAGCGGUGAAAUGCGUAGAGAUGUGGAGGAACACCAGUGGCGAAGGCGACUCUCUGGUCUGUAACUGACGCUGAGGAGCGAAAGCGUGGGGAGCGAACAGGAUUAGAUACCCCUGUAGUCCCUGUCUCUUAUAC